UGCUGUGGCCUUCCUCUGUCCCUUUAACUGUCCCAGGGGGCUGUGCUGGAGCAGCUGCAGGUGGUUUGCAGGAAGAUGAUCAGGGCUACACCUUCUGCAGGUGGUGGUGGAAGUUGGUUUGGGCUGAGAUGCUGCAAGUCUCACCUUGGAACAGAUUUGCUGGGUGCUGCCAGAUGUGCUGUCACAUUUCCUCGGAUUGAAUCCAGAGUUUGCUGCCUACGUGCCUGAUGCUGCAACUCCUGCAACACCUGCACUUGCCCCAGCCAGAGCAGAUGGGUGUAAGGAGGCCAGUUCAACAUCCAGUGUGAAAACGUGAGAACAGUUGAAUAUUGGUUUACAUAAUCCAAAGUUUGGUAGUCCCGUGGCUCAUGCAGAUCCUUACCUACACAUGUGGAAAAUGUUCUGCCUUCUGAAGAUGAACCUUCCUCUACAAAAG